UGUUAGGAUUAUUCUAAUUUAGCUUUCCAA
rnacentral:piRNA from 2 species